rnacentral:rRNA from 1 species
AUUGAACGCUAGCGGGAUGCUUUACACAUGCAAGUCGAACGAGUGGCGGACGGGUGAGGAAUAUAUCGGAACGUGCCCAGUAGAGGGGGAUAACUACUCGAAAGAGUGGCUAAUACCGCAUAAUAGUGGAGAGGCCGAUAUCGGAUUAGCUAGUUGGUGGGGUAAAGGCGAACCAAGGCAACGAUCCGUAGCUGGUUUGAGAGGACGACCAGCCACACUGGGACUUAGACACGGCCCAGCCUCCGCCGGGAGGCAGCAGUGGGGAAUUUUGGACAAUGGGGGAAACCCUGAUCCAGCCAUCCCGCGUGUAUGAGAAGGCCUUCGGGUUGUAAAGUACUUUUGGCAGAGAAGCGGUAUCUGCAGACUAAGCACCGGCUAACUACGUGCCAGCCGCCGCGGUAAUAC